AGAGUUUGAUCCUGGCUCAGGACGAACGCUGGCGGCGUGCCUAAUACAUGCAAGUCGAGCGAACAGAAGGGAGCUUGCUCCCGGAUGUUAGCGGCGGACGGGUGAGUAACACGUGGGUAACCUGCCUGUAAGACUGGGAUAACUCCGGGAAACCGGAGCUAAUACCGGAUAGUUCCUUGAACCGCAUGGUUCAAGGAUGAAAGACGGUUUCGGCUGUCACUUACAGAUGGACCCGCGGCGCAUUAGCUAGUUGGUGGGGUAAUGGCUCACCAAGGCGACGAUGCGUAGCCGACCUGAGAGGGUGAUCGGCCACACUGGGACUGAGACACGGCCCAGACUCCUACGGGAGGCAGCAGUAGGGAAUCUUCCGCAAUGGACGAAAGUCUGACGGAGCAACGCCGCGUGAGUGAUGAAGGUUUUCGGAUCGUAAAGCUCUGUUGUUAGGGAAGAACAAGUGCGAGAGUAACUGCUCGCACCUUGACGGUACCUAACCAGAAAGCCACGGCUAACUACGUGCCAGCAGCCGCGGUAAUACGUAGGUGGCAAGCGUUGUCCGGAAUUAUUGGGCGUAAAGGGCUCGCAGGCGGUUUCUUAAGUCUGAUGUGAAAGCCCCCGGCUCAACCGGGGAGGGUCAUUGGAAACUGGGAAACUUGAGUGCAGAAGAGGAGAGUG
rnacentral:rRNA from 1 species